CCUCUCCACGCAGUGUUCUACAUCAGAAAUACGUAAUAAUCCACAUUUCUCUCAGCAGGUGACAUGUUACACGAGUACAGAAAGGCUGAAGGACAGAGAGACAACAAAGCCAUGUAGCUUGGUGUUGAUGCCAGUUACUUUCACCACGAGACAGAUGGAGGCAUCACUAAUUAGAUCAGGAAAGACGUUACAUGCUUUGUGCUUUAGCACAUCACGGAGCAGAAAGAAUUGUGGUCAAGGCAGAAAGACUCAGUCCUGCAAAAUGCAAGGUUGGCACUCAGGUCGCAGGGAGCUCUUAUUUGGGUCACAUAGGGGUGGAAAACAGGUUUCCUAAAACAAACACAGAUAAUUUUAAUUAGUUGUUUUUUCAGGAGCUAUUUAAAGACAGACUCCAUUUUUUUCAGGUCUCCCACAGGACAAAGAUAAAUUAACCAAGUAAAUAGACACAGGGCACCUUAGAUCCCAGGCAGAACAUUUAAACAAACCAAUCCAUUUGACUUCCUUGCAGAGUAAAUAUCAGGCUCCCUAGCCAUCGUAUGGACCCUAUGGAAGGCAGUUAAGCCAAACUACUGAAAAGCAUUGGUUUACAGUGUCCUUCAACAGACCUUUUUAUCGGUGCUGUAAGGUGAGAUACAUCAAAACCCAAAGUACUCUUGGGUGGAGAGAACUGAGGCUGUAAAUUAGGGAAGGAAAAAAAAAACAGUCUUGAAAGAAGAGUGACAAAAUAGGUCAAGAAAGGCACAGAGACUAAAGUAUCCCAAAACUCCAGGCAUGGCUCAGUCCGAUGCCUGUGAUGACUGUCAGUGAGAGCUGGUGGUACACCAAGGAUGCCAAGAGAAGAUACACCCAUGUGACAGUGAUGCUAUGUUUACUUUGGGAAUGUGAGGAGAAUAUACACAUACACCAACUGUAUACUAACCCCAACAGUAACACACUGGGGAUUUCUGUCCUUUCAGCAGUUAUUAGCGAGCACAGGUGUGAGUGGGUGUCCAGCACAUCCCUCAAAGUGCCUGGUGGCAGAAAUGAAAGCCAAGAGCACAGAAAAUCAUCAUUUACC
ensembl:lncRNA